UUUGGACUGCAAGUUUCCUCGCUGUCCAACUCCCCUUCCAGCCGUGGGAGCUCAGGACAGGGGGUGAAGUCACUGGCUCAAGGUCUGAAUGCUUCAAUACUGAAUGUAAACUCCAGGGUCCUCAAKGACAGCUCCCUGUUUUUAUGCCAAUCACAGGGCCCAGAGCAGAAUGCCUUCUCUCCUGGGUGGACUCCAAGGAAGUUGAAAGGUGAAGGCUCCGCUGCUGUGUAGUGCAGGCUGGAGUUCUGUGGAGAGAGACAAGGAAAUCGCCAACUUGUUCCAGCUGCAAGAGCAAACUAGCAACGAGCACCCUCUCCACUCGUCACCUAGGGAUGACCACCUGAGCCAGGGACCCUGGUGAGUGGUGUCAGCUGCUGUAACAGCUCAAACUCCAGAAGGUCAGAGGCCUGAUUCACAUCGGWUCCCAC
rnacentral:lncRNA from 1 species